CCUACGGGCGGCUGCAGUGAGGAAUAUUGGGCAAUGCCCGCAAGGGUGACCCAGCAACGCCGCGUGGAGGAUGAAGGCCGUAAGGUUGUAAACUCCUGUUAGAGGAGAAGAAUAGUACCGAUUGGAUCGGUAUUUGACUGUACCCUCAGAGAAAGCCCCGGCUAACUACGUGCCAGCAGCCGCGGUAAUACGUAGGGGGCAAGCUUUGUCCGGAUUUACUGGGGGUAAGGGGGGAUCGCACGUGAGAGGUGAAAUCCUUCAGCUUAACUGUAGAACUGCCGUUGAUACUGUUAUUCUUGAGUUCGGGAGAGAGAGACGGAAUUCCAGGUGUAGUGGUGAAAUACGUAGAUAUCUGGAAGAACACCAGUUGCGAAGGCGGUCUCUUGGUCCGAUACUGACGCUGAGGCGCGAAAGCGUGGGGAGCAAACAGGAUUAGAUACCCUUGUAGUC
rnacentral:rRNA from 1 species